rnacentral:rRNA from 1 species
AAUCAACGCUGGCGGCGUGCCUAACACAUGCAAGUCGAACGCGAAAGCCCCUUCGGGGGUAAGUAGAGUGGCGUCCGGGUGAGUAACACGUGGGUAAUCUACCUUCGGGUGGGGAAUAACUCAGGGAAACUUGAGCUAAUACCGCAUAAUGCAGCGGCACCUAAUGGUGAUUAGUUGUUAAAGCGGGGGAUCGCAAGACCUCGCGCCUGAAGAGGAGCCUGCGGCAGAUUAGCAGUUGGUGAGGUAAUGGCUCACCAAGGCUUCGAUCUGCAGCUGGUCUGAGAGGACGGCCAGCCACACUGGCACUGACACACGGGCCAGACUCCUACGGGAGGCAGCAGUGGGGAAUUUUGGGCAAUGGGCGAAAGCCUGACCAAGCAACGCCGCGUGAAGGAUGAAGUCCGUUAGGAUGUAAACUUCUUUUGUCAGGGGAUGAAUGUGCCGCUCAGCGGCAUUGACCGUACCC